GGAUGUUAGACAAACCGGCUUCGGAUGUUUUUCAAGUCAUAAGGAAGACCACAUUUUGCAUAAAACGCGAGGAAUUUGAGCAAGAAAUUAUCUGUUUUCUGCAGUACCAAAAAUGAACAAGUCGGCACUCAUUCUCCUUCUGCUCAUCGGACUUCUUGUCCUCACCGAACCAACGGUUGGGUUGUUUGGUCGUCGUCGUCGUCGCUGUUGGCGUCGCAGACGUCGCUAUGGUGACGAACA